GUGCGGGCUCAUCACCGAGGCGGUCGGGGAAGGUGUGAUUAUGAAAAUAAACAAGGGAAGUGAGGGAAAUAUAACCAAGUGGAAAAAGGAAAUGGAGUGCAAAUUGAGAACAUAAUCCAGAAUUCGUAAAAGUGGUAUGGAUAAAGAAGGUCAAAAUGGUCUCUGAUGAAAAGAAACUUUUAAAAUGCUUGGAAAAGUUAAUGAAUUAGAUUUCCCUGCACUUGAAGAUAUUAGGAUUGGGAGAUCAAGACUCCCAUCAGCCAAAUCAAGAAUAUUCACAAUUGACAGGAAAACUCAAAGUUUCUUUUUCCCCACCAGAGAAAUGUCUCCCACCCCCAUAGCUAAACAGUGAAAUCCGAAGUGGGUAGAGCGUGCCUUUUUUUUUUCUUUGAGGCAAGUUUUUGAAUCGUGCGCUGGAGGUGAAAAAGAAAUGAUUUCAGAAUAGUGAACAUUUACAAAUAAAAAUGUGUCUACUACGCAAUGAGGAAUUUUAAAUUUGCAGUGAAAGUCUGACAUCUGGUGGUCAGAAAGAGGAGCAUCAGAAGAGGAGGCUAUUGUAAAAUUUCUAUUGGCUUUCAUAAAAUAAAAACCAA
rnacentral:lncRNA from 1 species